UGUUAGUCCUCAACACUGUUAAGUUGAAAAACGAGUCAGAUCUGGAAAGAAGCAGCUACAUCAAUGAAUGCAGGUGUUUUGUUAUAACUAACAGGA
rnacentral:SRP_RNA from 1 species